rnacentral:misc_RNA from 1 species
UCUCCGCUUGCGCGGGCAGUCUUUCUAGAGUCCCCACCAUGACAUGUUGGCAACUAGAAAUAAGGGUUGCGCUCGUUGCGGGACUUAACCCAACACCUCACGGCACGAGCUGACGACGGCCAUGCAGCACCUUGCUCCUUGUCCUUGCGGAACUUUCCAUCUCUGGAACAGUCAAGGGCAUUCUAGUCCAGGUAAGGUUCCUCGCGUAUCAUCGAAUUAAACCACAUGCUCCACCGCUUGUGCGGGCCCCCGUCAAUUCCUUUGAGUUUCAGCCUUGCGGCCGUACUCCCCAGGCGGGGCACUUAAUGCGUUAGCGCCGGCACCCAGGGGGUCGCUCCCCCAGGCACCUAGUGCCAAACCGGAGGAAGGUGGGGAUGACGUGUCGUUACCUUA